AUGUCCAUUUUUCUUUCAGUGUCUUUCACAUUACAGUGUCCAAAAGCUGAAGUCCUCUUCCUAGUAGAUGAAAAUGAGGAUGGCAAACUAAUCAGCCUAGCUUGCAGUGCCUUUGACUUUAGUCCAGAGGAUAUUAAUAUAACAUGGAUGUCAAAUGGCACACAAGUAAUCCCAAGCAGGAAGGAGGCAACAUUAAAAAUGCAUCAUGGGAAAUUUGCCACCAGCGCAAAGAUAAAUGUCUCCAUGGAUGAAUGGAAUGAAGGAAACCUAUAUGAAUGUACGGUUUCACUGUCAUCAUGUGACAACAUUUCAAGGAAUAUCUCUAAAUCAGCCUGGAUACUCCCAACAUCACCAGCUCUCCAAGUCCAAGUAAAUUCAUGUGAAAAAGGAAACACAACAGUGAGUUUAAUAUGCCAGAUUUCCAACUUCAGCCCAAAAGAAAUUGAAGUUAAAUGGUUUUCAGAUGGGAUGCUUAUGUCAUCUAACGACAAAUACAUGACUGGACAUGGUAACCAGUUUGAGAUGACAAGCACUGUGACAGUCCCAGCUGAGAAGUGGAACAGAUGGUAUAACUAUACAUGUCGAGCCUGGCACGCUUCAACAAACUCUUCAAAAGAAAAGACUGUUAAUAAAUGCACAG